GAAAACUUUACACUGCGCGAAAGCGCGAUAAGGGGACCUCGAGUGCGUGCGCAAUGCGUACGCUUUUCAGAUGCCUAAAAAGCAUCUGGAAUAAGGGCCGGGCAAGACCGGUGCCAGCCGCCGCGGUAACACCGGCGGCUCAAGUGGUGGCCGCUAUUAUUGGGCUUAAAGGGUCCGUAGCCGGACCAGUUAGUCCCUUGGGAAAUCUUACGGCUUAACCGUAAGGCUGCCAAUGGAUACUGCUGGUCUUGGGACCGGGAGAGGUAAGAGGUACCUUAGGGGUAGGAGUGAAAUCCUGUAAUCCUUAAGGGACCGCCAGUGGCGAAGGCGUCUUACUAGAACGGGUCCGACGGUGAGGGACGAAAGCUAGGGGCACGAACCGGAUUAGAUACCCGGGUAGUCCUAGCCGUAAACGAUGCGAGCUAGGUGUCACGUGGAUUGCGAAUCCAUGUGGUGCCGAAGGGAAACCGUGAAGCUCGCCGCCUGGGAAGUACGGCCGCAAGGCUGAAACUUAAAGGAAUUGGCGGGGGAGCAC
rnacentral:rRNA from 1 species